rnacentral:rRNA from 1 species
CCUACGGGUGGCUGCAGUGGGGAAUAUUGCACAAUGGGCGCAAGCCUGAUGCAGCCAUGCCGCGUGUGUGAAGAAGGCCUUCGGGUUGUAAAGCACUUUCAGCGGGGAGGAAGGCGGUGAGGUUAAUAACCUUGGCGAUUGACGUUACCCGCAGAAGAAGCACCGGCUAACUCCGUGCCAGCAGCCGCGGUAAUACGGAGGGUGCAAGCGUUAAUCGGAAUUACUGGGCGUAAAGCGCACGCAGGCGGUCUGUCAAGUCGGAUGUGAAAUCCCCGGGCUCAACCUGGGAACUGCAUUCGAAACUGGCAGGCUAGAGUCUUGUAGAGGGGGGUAGAAUUCCAGGUGUAGCGGUGAAAUGCGUAGAGAUCUGGAGGAAUACCGGUGGCGAAGGCGGCCCCCUGGACAAAGACUGACGCUCAGGUGCGAAAGCGUGGGGAGCAAACAGGAUUAGAUACCCCUGUAGUC